GUGUAUUCCCAAUUUUUAGCGUUCCCUUCCAGCGGAGUCUGCGUGGCUUUGUUGGGAGAGGCUUGUCUAAUCAGUGACAUCAGAGCUUGUGUUGCCCAAUGGAAGGAGGCGUGUCCGGUUCCAAAUUAUUCUGAUAAUGGUCCCCAGCUGGGCUGCGCUGCACUUCCGGGUCAGCGUGCACGCCUGCUUGGGUCCACUGUCUGCGCAGCGCACGCACCCGUCCAGCCGGUGCCAGAACGUCUCCCCGUGGCUGUGGCGGCGGGAAGGGUCCGUCGGUCUGGUGUCGGAGGCCCGGGGGAGCCGCUCGAUGAGAAAAUCGGCCUCCCCCGACCACAGAGGCGUAGGAACGCUUCGCCCCGCAUUGUUGCUGGUGACGCCGUAACCAUGGAGACGGCUCUAACAACAUGGCAGCUCCGGACCUGCGGAGAAUAAAAGUCCGUGAUGCUGCU